rnacentral:misc_RNA from 1 species
GAUGAAGAACGUAGCGAAAUGCGAUACUUGGAGUGAAUUGCAGAAUCCCGUGAACCAUCGAGUCUUUGAACGCAAGUUGCGCCCGAAGCCAUCAGGUUGAGGGCACGUCUGCCUGGGCGUCACAUAUCGUUGCCCAAUGCCUAUUGCAGUGCAAUAGGAAUUUCUAGGGCGAAUGAUGGCUUCCCGUGAGCGUUGUUGCCUCGCGGUUGGUUGAAAAUCGAGUCCUUGGUAGGGUGUGCCAUGGUAGAUGGUGGUCGAGUUAGAACGAUACCGAUCAUGUGCAUGCUCCCCAAAAUAUGGCCUCUAUGACCCACACGCGUCUUUUGACGCUCAUGACGAGACCUCAGGUCAGGCGGGGCUACCCGCUGAAUUUAAGCAUAUCAAUAAGCGGAGGA